UUUUGAGGAUAUUCUGUAUACUUUAUGAAGAUUUUAGCUUUUGUUAUUCCAGGUUAUUUAAGUAAUAAAUUCAUGAAAAAUAUGCAAUUUUUUCAAAUGACAAAAAUUGAAGUAUGCCUUUAGUGAUGUUCUUCAAACCUGACCAUAAAUUUUGAGGAAUGAUUUUCUGUUUAUAUAAUAGUGAUUUUACAUUUUGUUUUUCCAGAGAUAUGAGACUUAAAUCUAAUAAUAAA
rnacentral:lncRNA from 1 species